rnacentral:rRNA from 1 species
AACGAACGCUGGCGGCAUGCCUAACACAUGCAAGUCGAACGAUCCCUUCGGGGAUAGUGGCGCACGGGUGCGUAACGCGUGGGAACCUGCCCUUAGGUUCGGAAUAACUCAGAGAAAUUUGAGCUAAUACCGGAUAAUGUCUUCGGACCAAAGAUUUAUCGCCUUUGGAUGGGCCCGCGUUGGAUUAGCUAGUUGGUGGGGUAAAGGCCUACCAAGGCGACGAUCCAUAGCUGGUCUGAGAGGAUGAUCAGCCACACUGGGACUGAGACACGGCCCAGACUCCUACGGGAGGGAGGAGUGGGGAAUAUUGGACAAUGGGCGAAAGCCUGAUCCAGCAAUGCCGCGUGAGUGAUGAAGGCCUUAGGGUUGUAAAGCUCUUUUACCCGGGAUGAUAAUGACAGUACCGGGAGAAUAAGCCCCGGCUAACUCCGUG